GAUCAGCUGACACAAGCUAAAUAUUAGCACAUGAUGAGACAUCUCAAAGUGAAACUUAACUUAUCCAGUUAACUGGUUCAGUCGAAAGUGCACUAAUGCUCAACUUUGAGUGCUCUCAACACCUGCUGAGCAUUGUUUAAAGAAAGAUGUUGACUAUCUCAACUUGACUCACGAUCCUUAUUAUUCACAUAGUACCCUAACUCGAGGCAAGAAGAGGGUGUGAAAGUGCACUGACUCCUACAGGCUCCUCGUGAUGGUUCUCUCAACCAUGGAGCACAGCACCAGAAGACCUCCACGCUGCUGGCCUCCGGUGGCUCUUUUCCUCGUCUUCAUCCUCACCCAGCAGCUCUACGCCCUCAUUGUGUUACACGGCCAGUUGGUCAGCUCUAGUGAGGCCAACAUCAGCCCUUUCAAAUUCUGCCUCCAGGGACAAGAUGUUGGAGUUACCUGUGAUGAUCAACACAACAACAUGUCUACCACCGCUGGUGUAUUAGUGGAUAUCCUUAGGGUUCUGGUCAUUAUGAGUCUGUAUAUUCCACUGGUGCUGGUGCCCUUUGCCCUCAUGGCCUUUCUGUUUGCAGUCUGCUGUGAUGACAGAGGGGUGUUGUGGUUCAGUGUCAGCUGUCUGGCUGCUUCCAGCCUACUGAUGCUUGUGGGCCUCUGUGUGUUUGUGGGGCUCCACUUUAACUAUGUGUCAUUGGCUGAUAUGACAGCAGGGUACUAUGUCUGUGUGUUUGUUAAUGCUGAGCUGGUUUCAGCAGCUGUACUGACCUGGAUGACAGGGACGCGGCAGCUUAGAGAUAAAACGACAUCCAAUGAUAACUAAUAACCCAGUGGAGAGGCUUGCUGGUAACCAACAAGUGAUUGUCCUCCCUAGUGUUCAAAUAGGGGUUGCUGAACAUUUCCUCUUAACUGACCUGUAACAUUUGUUUGCUGGUCAGGAAAAACAUGUCAACUUUUGAUUUGUUUAUUUCAAGUUUUUCAAUGUGUUCAACAUGAUCAACCAAAAGGGUGUACAUUUUAAAUGACUGUCUAUAUAAUGUUUUUCAAGACAUACUAUUCAUAACUUUAUUUUGUCUGUUUUCAUGUUUGUGUUCUGUACAUGGAUGCAUAUUUUAAAUCAAAUUAAGUUUCCAAUAAACUCUGAUACAGAGAUACUUUGCUCUUUGACUACAACUACUAUAGUCCUACUGUACUGUGGUCGGUAAUGUUGACGACAAAAAUGCUAGUCAUUUUAAUAAAUCGACCACUAGCCUAAGUAAUUAAAAAAGAUAUUGCAUACCUUUUGGCUAACUGUCAUGUUCCAGUAAAUGAGUGUGAUAACCUACUUUACCUUAUAAUCAUUAAGUUAAAACCACCAAUUUUGCUCACGAGUCUCAAAUGUACAUGAUUGAUUUAUUCAUCAAAAUUGUGAAGUGUAUGACAUGCCUGUUGAUCAUAAGCCUAUGUUGAUGGUCAACAAAGAUUUCUCUAAUUUCUGUGAAUUUGGUCAGGUCACCAAAAAAGUGACAUAUUGCAGCUUUAAAACUAAAAUAAAUUUAAUCAAUAAAAGUGCCUUCAGAAUAUCCCAGUAGUCACAUUUUAUUCUUCAAUCAAAAUUAUAUAUUUUUUGUUUCUAUUACAAAGUAUGUCAUUACCCUUUUUACUGCUCUUAAAGGGGAAACAAAUCUUGAGCAGUUGCGCUUAAUAUUGUACAUGUCAUUAGUUGCACCUAGUGAGACAGUUUUUAGGCCCAAUGCCUUUUCUAAGACAGUGCAUAAACACUUCACAGAUUAAACCUAAUCCUGUAUUCAUAAAUGCUUUCAAUGGAGAUGUAUUUACUAACAUUACCAAGAACCCACUAUUAGCAGAGAAGGAAAUCAUUCAUGUUAUGGGUCCCAUUUGCCCCCAUUGACUAUUUUUAAUAUACUCUAGUCUACAUGACCUCACUGUGUAUCCCCCCCAUCUCAGUUUGUAAGGAAAGCAUCUCAAAGUGUUCUGUGGUUUAUCAUCAGGUGAAGAAUAUCUCCCUUACAAGCCUGAGGGCAUCAUCGUCUGCUGUGGGAGACUGUGACCGUGAGUGGUCCUCUGCUCCAACAUCCUGAGCCAAAUCCCCUGGACUAUCAGCAUCGUCGUGACCUGGUCCUGAACUCUGACCCUCAGGUCCCUGCUCUGUGUUGUUGUUUUGAGCGUACAGUAGAGUGUCCUCCUCGGCUACAUCGAUGUCCGUUUCUGAGACAUACGUCCUCUCCUGUGCAUCAGAGUCUGAGGACUCCGCCACCACGUCCAACUCAGACAGCCUCCUCUUCUUCUCCCUGACACAGUUGUUUUUUGCAUUCAUAGAGCAGCCCACCACACUCCUUUUGACCUGUAGGAAUGAAUGCAAUAUACAGGGUGAAUUGGAUAAAACAGACAAAUAGCUCAGUUAUAUCCACUAGGAAUUAUUUAAACCUCCCCACCAGAUGUUUCACAAUUUUGUUGUAGCCCUGAACUAGCUCACCUGAGUCACCUAUUCAAAGGCAUGAUGAUUACCUGAUGAGUUGAAUCAGGUGUGCUAGCUCUGGAUUAGAUCAAAUAACAGCUGGGGGUCCCCACUAGAGGUCCUUCAUACUGUGGUCUAAGCUAGUUAGCUGCAACCCCCCCAUACCCCUCAGUGAAUCAUCACCCAGUCUAUGGAACAUCACCUGUUUGUCAUCAUGAUGAGCUCCAUCUUCUCCACCUCCAAAUUCAUUCAAAUAACUGACAGCUGCCUCCACCAGCUCCUUUUCAUUCAUGCAGUAGAAGGCCACUCUGGACAGCAAGAGAGGGAAAAUUAAGUCCGAUGUGCAGAAAACAAAUGCUUUUCAUAUAGCCAUCAGGUUACUUUUAGUUGAAAACUAGAAAAGUUAGUGGUUGAAACCACACACUACAGAAAAAAAUUGCCGUUUUGAAAAUGCAGUAAAAUUGCACUAACUGGUAUUUUUCAGAAUAAACUGCAAAAUUACUGCAGUAAAAAAAAUAUUUUGGAAGCAAUAUAUAACUGCAGUACAGUGUAUUGCAGCUAUACUGCAUUCUGACCAGUGGAUGCUCCUCAGAGGAGGAAGGGGAGGACCAUUCUCCUCAGUGAAUUUCAUAAAAAAUUACAAUUGUAAAACAUUUUAAAAGUUAUCCUUUUUAGAUAAAACUAUAAAUAUAAUCACAUCAAAUAAUUGAUUAAAACACUAUUUUUGUGAGGUUGAAAAUAUGCUUGGCCUAUCAUGGGGGUGUCUAUGUUAAAAGCUACAUUUUGCAACAUAUGGUGUGACUAGCGGAAAGGCUGUGGCUGGCCUUGAGGUGUAGGCAGCUAUCAUGAGUUGUGGGAGACACGUACAGAACUUAGGCAGUUAAACAGACUGUCUUUUGUUAGAACUCAAACUUAGAAAUAACAGGAACCAGAUAACGGUGUCUAGGGUGUGAGCGCAUGGAUAUUCUACACAGCAACAGUUACCGUACAUCUAUCAACUGGAGCGCCCGGGGGCUGGUACCAGCUCGUGCGCCAACAAUCAACGAUAGGCUGGGUGAGUCUAAACCAUGCCCAGUCUCUACUCUGCGACAGGCCGGCUCAGAAGCAGGAACUACUUCUGUCAGAGUAUAUUAUAAUAAUUUUGUCAGGAACAAGUUCAGUUCUCUGUUUGCCCUGCGAGGUGUGACAGAGAGCCCGUAUAUAUACGAAAAUUGCAUUUACCACUUAUUGCUCAGCUAAUAAAAAAUAUAUAGCAUACAA